GCUUCCUGCCUUCGACCAGACUAUGUCAUCCUGAGUAUCUACACUGCAAGCGUUUCCUCGGCGAAGCAAGCUAGAAUUUAUUUGUGGUGAAGCAAGCUAGAAUUUAUUUGUGGUGAAGCAAGCUAGAAUUUAUUUGUGGUGAAACAAGCUAGAAUUUAUAAUCUUACUACUAGUGUUUGCCUCUUCGUGACCAGAACAUAGUGGUCAGAACAGGCCGGUUAUUGGCAAGCGUGGUGCGUACUCCGUAAAUAACUUAGUCAUGAAGGGAUGCAGCAGGUCCUGGCUAUUUCUACCUUCAAAUGAUACACCUGUGGAAGAGGAUAGGUUUCUAGCGGGUUCACGGAUUCAUUCAGACAUGGACUUGGAAGAAAGGUGGCUAAGGAUUUCCAGACGAGACAGCAAGGACGGCCCAAGACUUGCUGUACGGUUGGCUCAUCUCAUAGUCUAGCUGGUGUAUUUCGAUCAGUACUUUCAAAGAGAACAUCUCCUCUCGCAGAUAGAGUCUUCCUAGACCAGAGACUUGGUGUACGGUUGGCUCAUCUCAUAGUCUAGCUGACACAAAUCAAUCAGUGCUUUGAAAGAGAACAUCUCCUCUCGCAGAUAGAGACCAUCUAGACCAGAGACUUGGUGUACGGUUGGCUCAUCUCAUAGUCUAGCUGACACAAAUCAAUCAGUGCUUUGAAAGAGAACAUCUCCUCUCGCAGAUAGAGACCAUCUAGACCAGAGACUUGGUGUACGGUUGGCUCAUCUCAUAGUCUAGCUGACACAAAUCAAUCAGUGCUUUGAAAGAGAACAUCUCCUCUCGCAGAUAGAGACCAUCUAGA